rnacentral:misc_RNA from 1 species
GGUACUUCCAGCCCACCUCGUGUGCCAGGCGGCCCAGGAACGCAAACUUGCGGGUGGGCUUCAGGCGGAUGAUCUUCAGCGCCGCCGGGACCACCAUGCGCUUGCGCUUGUCAUACGGGGGGGGGAUCCCAUCAAACACCUUCAGCCUCUCCAGCGCCGCCUGCCCCCGCUUGGUCUUAUGGGGCAGCAUCCCUCGCACCGUGCGCCAGAAGAUGCGGCUGGGGGCC